GGCUUGCUCCUUCCACCAUGAUUGUGAGGCCUUUCCAGCCAUGUGAACUGUUUCUGAACAGUGGGAUAAUUAGAACUAUACUUUAAAAUGAAAUAUCUGAUAAU
rnacentral:lncRNA from 1 species